CUGAUGUGCAGUUCAUGUUAGAUUUGCUAUUUCCACAGUUACAGUGAAGUAGAAGAGUCCGGUCGUGUUAUGGGGCAGCAGUUAAAGAAGGAGGAUGGAGAGAUGUAUGCUAUGUUGAAGUAGUGGGUAGCCCUCCUGCCCGGCACUUCUAGAAUCCUCCAUCUCAACCUCUGCUCUGAUCUGCUGUGUCUUUGCCAAGUGAUCAGAAGUUUAUUGCAAUGGUGCCCCCCCUGCAUCUCCACCGUCUGUUACAUCAACUCCAACUACCAGAGAGAAACAAAGUUCACAAGAUGUCCUGAAAUGGAAUUGUGACUGGACUGAGACAACCACAA